CUUCACGUGAUGUCAUAAUGUGGAAUACCAAUAGCAAAAGUUACAUAACCAAUGGUCAUGGCGAAAGCAUUGCAAAUCCAUGAGCAGGAACGUGCUAUCUGGAGAAUAUUCGUCAGGAAGGAUGCUGUCCCAUCCAAAGAACUCCAAAACAGAAAUGAGAGAGAGGCACAAGAGAAAGUAGACAAAGAACUAAGACAGAAAUUUGGUAUUGUGAAAGAUAUAAGAAUACAUCUCAAGAGGAUAAAUCCCAGUGAACUUAAAGAAGAUUUUGACUAAGCUUCUACAUUUGAAUGGAAGUUUCCCAGGAAUGCUGCUUUCCCAUCCGAAGAAUCUCAAAGGAGAAUCAAGAAAGUAGCACAGCAGAAAGAAAACAAUGAACUAAGAAGGAAAUUUGGUAUCAUUAAAGAUAUAAUAAUCCAUCUUGAGAGGUUAAAAUUUCCAUGAAAUUCAGAUGUUUCUCAGCAGCAAAGUUAACAAUCAAUAAAAAGUUACUGUUUUUCUUUGAUCUAUUAUCUCUUGUUCAGUCUGUAACAUUCAAGUCACGUUUUGUCAACUGAAUCUUAAACCAAUGUCUACUGCUCCUUCCAAGGUCUUUGAUAAAGACCUACUUUUAUUGUCCCCGAGUGGAAACAUCGCUGGUGUACAUUCAGCAUUCAUGAAGAAUGUGCUGUAACUGUUUUGUGAAAUAUUUCAAAGCUAGAUAAAGCAAUACUUUCCAGAGUAUGUUAAAAGAACACAGGUAUAAAUUACAUUUUCCUUUCUUCCAGUACCAAAAUAAAGCAUCUGGUGUUAAAAAAAA